CAUAGCUUGCCGAAGGUUAUCAAACUCGGUUCCUUCUGCUUGCAGAAGGGAUUUCAUGACCUUCGAGGUCUCAUAAAAACGGGGCAGGUAUGUUGCCAUUUCCUGCCCCCUGGUGCUGGUUAU
rnacentral:misc_RNA from 1 species